UGAGGAAAAGAAAAGUCACAACUGCAUGAAGAGGUUCUCACCAAUUUCAUGUUGAAUGAGAAGUCACAAAUCCUAGAGCAAAAAUGACUUCUUUUUUAAAUGAAUGCUUAUAAAGAGAAUUACUUUUAAGCUUUUCUAUUGAAGAAUCCUUUUUGAUCUUUUUACCUCCAGAAAAGCCUAUGUUUAAAGCCCAAUUCAAUCAAAGAUGAAAUUUAACAUGAUAAAUCUUUAAAAAGACUGUAAUUUUAGGGUGUUGUCUCUUUUAAUAACUAUAGAGCCACCCUGACUCCUUUUCAGCUAAAAAAUUUGUGCACUCAAACCAAGUAGCUUAUUGAAAUAACUUAUUUUCCUUCUUACCCUCUUCUACAAUUUUUUCUAAGCACAGAGACCUGACAUUCAGCUCCAAUAAGGAUGUCCCAAUAUGCCCUGAAUUCAAACAAAUCCCUGACUGCAAUAAUAAGUAGAUUAUGUAAUCUGAAAUAAAUAGGCUUCUAUCCUUUUAUAUGUAAAAUUAAAGUUGACAAUCGGCUUCUCUGAAAUGAAUGAGUAUAAAAUCUUUUGUAAAACUAUUUUACUGAUCUAACCUGCCAACAGGACACCCAACACUUGUACCCUGGCAAACAACAGCACUUUAAGAGUUUUACCCAUCUCUUCAUUUGCAGUUUUUUUUUCUUCUUGCUUCAGACCAAGUAGGUAGAAAACUGACAGCCUAAUGUAGAUUUCUAGAACUACAGAUUCUUAGGAAAUACUAAUAUGUAAAUGAUCAUUGCCUAAGGUUAAACUUGUAUAGAUUUUAAGCAUGUUUCAAGUGAAGAGUGACCAAGAACCUUUAGAGUACCAUUUGCUUUUCCUUGGCAACAGAAAUUACUCUUCCAACUGAAAAGGAAAAUUUCACACUCAGUUUUCCACAUUCCCGUGGAUUUACAUUAAAGCAGGAUCCUAAACUAGUAGAAUACUAAAUCCACUCUAGAUGCCAAGCUGACCUCUAUUAAGUUUGCUGUUUCCUGAAGUACGAAGAACAAAGCAGAGACAAGGGUACCUCCCUCUGCCGCUCAACUAUCUCCCAAAGCUUCAGGAAAGGAAAAGACCUUCUUAUACACAAAGGGUGGAGGGCCUAUGGCAAGACUGGGAAGAGAGAAGUAAUAUUUUUAGGACUGUGGAGGGGUGUGGGAGGUUUACUUUUUUAUAAAGGGCAAUGAGGGACAUACAUCUUUUGAAACAAACAGUCCAGCUAUGAGUAAAAUCUAGGCCUUAGAUUCUAUGGAAAAUAUCUCAGUGUCAGAUGGGAUGUAAGAGAAAGUCUCCAUAAGUUGAGGAAAAAUGACCAGUGCAUUUCUUCCCAUAUUGUUGAAGGGGUGAUGAAUUAGAUCGUGAGUCAAGAGCCUGCUUGGCUGACUCAUGCUGAGGCACUUGCUUUUAAGCCAUUUCACAUCCUCCCCCCACUCCAAAGCCAAACCCCAUUUACCACAAGCUAGGAGGAGGAUAAACUCUGAGAAUGUCCUACUAUCGCCUGCUUUCCCCUCUAGGUCUCCCUACUACUUCCUGCUCGUAAGAGUAAUUCAGUUACAUUAUCCCAUUUCCUUCCUUCCUCAUUUUCAAAAGACAAAGGUUUCCUCCUUUAAGGGAAAGGUCCCCACUCACUAACCCCCAGAAAACACAUUUUGUUUGGUGAAGAUGUCCUAUGAAGAAGCUGCUUCUACCACAUCUGUACGGAAACAGUGACCAGGCUCCAUACACUCACCAAAUGCAGCCCCCAAACCCCUUAGUUGUUCCCAAUUGUCAGGGGUAGGGUAGACACCUGUAAUGUUUGAAAUUAUUUUGGUUCUUUCUCCAAAAAAACACCUGGAACAAAAACUGACAGUGAAUUGAGAUCACAUACACAAUGGAGUUUGGAAAAAUUAUAUUAGGCAAAAACCCAUGAAUUAUAACGAUAUAAAGGACUCAAACUUCUUUUCCUGAAGUUCGGGAAUACUAUCCCACGCCUGACUCGAGGCAGACUUGCAUAUUAUUUGUUUAUAGAUGCAGACAUUUUUCUCAUCUUCCCUCUGGUGUCUCCCUGAGAAGGUACCACGUUUAACCAGAUCAAGACAGAUUUAGAGGUCAAUAAACAACGACACUACAAAAACCCCCAAUAGUAGGGUUAGCUUAAAUAUUAAAUAGUUACAGCAUUUAUAAGUAUUGCUAUAGUACAUACGCCUGAUGUUAAUAUUUAUCUUUAAUCCACACAACCUAAGAGUUCUGGUAAGAUUUUGUUUUAUGGGGGUGAGGGCUGUGGGUGGAAAUGGGAAGGAACAUACUCUGAAUACCCCGUGGGUUUUUGCAGAAAUACUCUACUUAGAAUUCCGAGUAUGAGACCGGCCUUAGUCUGUAUUUCUGAAGUCUUUUCCUGACUUUAAGGUCUGAAUGUUCCAUUUCUCAUCCCUUUUCUAGUCUAGUCCUCUCUUUCACAAAGCUUAGCUUUUCCAUUCAUCAGUGGCUGGAAAAUGGACUUAAGGGAUUGGGUAAGCCUAAGGGUAUAAGAGUCUCUCCCAGGUUCUUUGUGUAGCCCUGUCAAAUCACUGAUUAAGCUCAUAAACUUCCUUCUCUCUCUGUCUACAAAUAUAUAUACCCGGAUACUGCAUAUAAAAAGGAUACAAACCCCGGGGGGAAGUACUAACCCUUAUAAUACCAGUGUAGUGGGGCCACUGAAACUUCAGAAUCACAGUAUAACUAGACACACCUGGGAUGUUUCAGAUGAAGACUAAGCAACUUAAAGUCUGCUGAUUCAGGAGCUGUUAGAAGCAGGGCGGCAGCAAUUUACUCCUAGUUUUAAAGGAAUGACUGGCCAGCCAGAUCAUGGGUCACCAAUUUGGUUACCACCACUAGCAAGGCUACGUGCUGCUGGAAGCAACGCAGGAGGGGGAGGGGACAACGAAGGGCACAAUGGGAAACAAAAGGUCUCAACGUGGGGAGGCACACGUGUCCUGGUGCCCGCAGUGGCCUACCCUGGCAAGAACAGGUCACUGCAACUGAACAAGCCCAGAAAGCCCUUCUCUCAAAGCGUUGCAACUUCUGGAAUGAAGGACACACCUAUAUACACAGUGGUCUUGUUUCCUCCCAAAGCUGUUACCAAAUCAUAUCCCGGCCACUGGAGGAGGGUCUGGACAAAAAAGUCUUUCAGUCACUUAUUUAGCAGCUGGUGGUUUUAAAUUUUACGUCUUGUGCCAAGAGGCCGGCAAAUGCCACUGCAGCAAGCAGAGAACCCUUAGAUAACACGCUGGGCCCUCCCCGAACCUUCAGCCAGCAGCAGUGUCCUCUGACGCUGGCCUAAUACACUCAUCUUUCCCAGGGAGCAAAUUCCAGAACGGAGGCAGGGAGGGAGGUGCGACCCUGGGCACGAGUCCCGGGAAGUGACCGCCGAUGCCUCCCGGCUCCUGCCCCCACCGGGCUUCGGCCUGACCACGCUCUUGGCACAGUUUACCAAACUGAGUUAAAGAACAACAAACCCUCCUCCGCACCGGCCUCGCAUUCCUGAGAGCCGCGGGAAGCCCCUUCGUUCCCCUCCCCUUCCCGCCCGGGGCCUGCCCCGCCACCGGGAGGCAGGGGGAGCCAGCGGCCGGCGCACGGUGGGCCGGAGGGUCGCCGGGCUGGGCAGGCGCCACCCGCCGAGAAGCACGUGCAGGAACCGUUUUCCAGGCUGCUGCAUAAAAUUCCCUCUCCAGCCCUACUUUGGAGUGGUUGGGAACCAGAGUCUUAAUCUAUCUCUUUGGAGCUGCUUCAAGUGGAAGAGGGGCAUGACCAGUUUCAGCAAACCUGGUAAGAACUCAUCAGCCCCCUCCUCAGGACGCUGUCUACAGUUGUCUGCGCAUCCGGAAGAGAUAAUUGAGUUCAAGCAGAUAUGAGAGUACGAAAAUUUUCAAGACGCCCACGAGUGGAAAAUGCACUCCUCCCAGCCAGAUCAGACUUCACCAGAUUCCUUACAGCUGUGUGCGUUGAAAUGACUAAUGACAGAGCCCUCUGCUGCCGGUGGAACUUUCACACACGGCACUGUUGCUGCUGCUCAUCAGGACACGACCCUGCGUAUUUACAUACUGGAUGUCACCCCAAAAGCCCCCGACCAGGGGAUUUCCGGGAUGUAAUGAGAACGCGCUCUGGGCCUUGGAAGGUGCGCUGUGAGUGCGCCUCCUGCAGCGCGCAGACGUAACAUUUCAGACCCACGCUCCCUCGCCAAGGGCUCUUCUCCUGGGAAGAUAUCAGAUUCAGUCAUAGAUCCAUAGGUGCCAGCUAUGGAUUGAGGUGCUGGGAAUACGUAGAUGAGGAAUUCACGCUCCUUCACGCCUGGAGCUCGGUGCCUCGUUAAGACAAGGGACGCAAACGCUGGAAAAUUUCAGUCCAUAGCGUAGGUAUGAAGGAGGCGUUCUUGGGGCCCAGAGGAGGGGCGUGUAAGUUGGGGGCGGCCAGGGAAGGCCUCCUGGAGUUGGUAAAGACUGGUUUGAGUCUCCAACAUUUUUUUAAAAGUGCUUUGUUUUUUAAAAAAUCUAGUUAUGCAGGUAAUAUAUCUCAUUGACAAAUAAUGUAAACUUUUUAGAAAUAUGUUCCUUUAGAAAAAGCUCAGGGAGCAAAGAGGAAGAAAGAAAACUUGAUUAGGAGGAUUUCUACCCAAUUGUAGAUUGUGGCUUUCUUCCUGAAAAGGGAGUUGUGUGUGUGUGUGCAUGUGUGUGUGUGUGUAAGAGGGUGGCAUAGUGCCGACAAGAGGGAGGUGAAGACUCGAGACCUUGUCCCUGUGGCCAGAAUCUCUUUGUGGUAACACUAGCCAGGGUGAGAAAUCAAUCAGCUAUGUACUGGGCACCCACGCCCAUGGGACUCUGGUUUUUCUGACUUGAUUUUCUACAUUUUAGUUUUGGCUAUUGGAGUCUUACAACCUCAGAGGCUCAUCUCUGCCCAUUCCUCCAAGUGGUUUAUCAAGGUGUUUUCCUAAAAGAAAUUCAUGUCUCCCUAGGGGCCAGCCCCGUGGCCAAGUGGUUAAG